UGAAUUAGGUUAAGUCAGUUCCCGACAACGCGCCUUUUGGUGAAUAUAGUUCACGUCCUCUCGAACGUUUUAUGAAAACAGAUAACGUUAUGUAUGCGAAACAAAAUACAAAGGAGAAAGAGAAAAAUAUGUGUCCGUUCAAAGUAAUCAGUUGCGAUGACGUCAAAAGCACGCGUUCAACGAACGCGGGCCUAACAUUAAAUUAGGUUUAUUAGUUAUCCGUCUGCAGUUAAAGGUCAACUAUAAAUUAUAAUCACUUCGUUUUACCAUAAUCUACUCGUCUUUGACUUGGGAGUCGAUUACACAGCUUUUUAUUGUCAGUUACCGGUAAGUUAUGCAGCAAUGGACAAUGCCGAAUUGCUAUUAUCGAAUUAUUCGAAUCAGCCGAAAAACAAUUCGGUAGUGAAAAAAUCAGAGGGCAAUACACCAAUCAAUAAUUUAUGUACCAGAUUCCGGAAUACCGCGAUUUUCCAAAGAUCAGGUCAUAUCGCACGUAAUACGGGUAGUUUAAAAAACUAACAAUAAUCAAACCGAUCGAACAUCGCAGUACGGUUUUGUGCGUCGUCAAUCGAGUAUUAUUCGUUAUCAUGUAAUAUUUUUUAAAUGAAUUGAAAAGAUUUAUCAACACAAGUGCCCGACAUAAAUGUCCCGAACGGGGCAGCAAAAAACUUAGACGGACAAAUAGAAAUUGUUUGGACAAUUUGCAUGGCGGAAUUUAUGUGGCGAUCAAAACUAAAUAAUGGUGAGAUAAUCGUUUGAUUUUAAAAGAUACAGCAGAAUUUCGGGGCAGCCUAAAUAAUUGUAUACAUUUUUUAACAUUUUAUAUUUAUGCGACGUAUUUAUUAUCGUAUCUUCCCACGUCGCCGACUCCCAUUUCGCUGACAAUUAAACCGGUUUUUUAAGGUAUUAAAAAUCUUCCCAUUUCAACAACA